GAUGAACGCUGGCGGCGUGCCUAAUACAUGCAAGUCGAGCGAAGCGGGGACGGGUGAGUAACACGUGGAUAACCUCCUAUAAGACUGGGAUAACUUCGGGCAACCGGAGCUAAACCGGCUACUUAUCGAUGGAUCCGCGCUGCAUUAGCUAGUUGGUAAGGUAACGGCUUACCAAGGCAACGAGGCAUAGCCGACCUGAGUGGGUGAUCGGCCACAGUGGAGCGGAGACACGGGCCAGACGGCUACGAAAGGCAGCAGUAGGGAAUAGUCCACAAUGGGCGAAAGCCUGACGGAGAAACGCCGCGUGAGUGAGGAAGGUCUUCGGAUCGUAAAACUCUGUUAUAAGGGAAGGGGUACAUGAUCAGAAAGCCAAGGCUAACUACGUGCCAGCAGCCGCGGUAAUGC
rnacentral:rRNA from 1 species